GGAAUGUGCACAGGUCAGGCUGAGCAAUGAAGCCUCAUAGUGAUCCUCCAAAACAUUAGGAGGAGCUAAUGCUAAUGCUAAUACUAAUACAGGCAGUAGUUUGCUUACACAUUAGCUUUAUUAGGCUUUAAUAGGUUCAAUGUAAAAAGUUCAAGUUUGUUUGGGUUCUGUCCUAUGUGUGGACAAACCCUUUGUAAAUACCUUGUUAAUGUCCUACAGAAAUGUCAAACGUUUACCAGAGUAUUGAAGAAGCUAACUGUUUUGAAAAAAGGCUCAGCUAAUUUGUCAGAAGGUGAUGUUAUGAAGGCAGCCUGGGUUUGAACUGUAUUGGCACAAAAGCCUGUACUACACGCUGGAUAAAAAAACAUCCAGGGAGCUGGACAAUGCAGGGGAAAUAAAUUGAGGAUGCCUCCGAAUUUUUUGAUUUUAUUCCGAUUCACAGAGGUGAAAUGCUAAAUUGCCUCAGUGCUGCUUUGACUAAAGUACCGAAGAGCAGAUAAACUAAAACUUGCCUAAAAAGUAGACUUAACUGCUUCCAGGUACACAAACAGUAGCUGCUGCUCAUUAUUCAUAAACAGCAUCGUCUACUGUACAUGUAGAUGUAAUUGUUCACUGUAAAAUGUUGCAAUGGAUGUGACAUUUAAUGGCGGUAUGGUGUUUAAAGCCUAAUCACAGUAUACAUGUAUGUCCUCUGUUGUUGUUUGCUGCCGGCAGCUUUGGGUCUCUUUGGAUACUCUACAAGUGGUGGACAACACACUACAGCAGACCUUUCAUCUGCACUACCCAGCUGUCAGAGUGAAGAGCCACUUCCAUUAAGGGUGUGGGAGCAAAGACAGGCUGCGAUGCGUCAUCUGCAAAGCCAAGUACCAGCUCCAGAGGAGAUCUCCGUGGCUGUCGCUUGCCUUGCAGUGGCGGACGUGGCUCGUUCUGAUCACUGUCCUGGUUCUGCUGUGUCUGGUGCCUUACGCCGUUCACUGCAUGAUGACCGUCUUCACCGAUCCACCUCCACCCACCACCUUUAAAGUGGCUGCAGCCACUUUUGGCCUUUUGAUGGAGUUCCUGUUAAUCAAAUGUGCGUGGAGCUACAUCGGCGUUCAGUACCAGCAGGCUGAGCGGAGCUCCUUCACUGUCCGGCACCGCGGUUCGGAGGAGGGUGCGUCGGGCCGGAGCUGCUGGUACCGGUGUGGGUCCCUUUCAGCAGAGGCUGGUCGCGCUCCAGCAGCGGACUCACCCAUUGGAGAGAGGAAAGAGAGUGAGUUCAAAUCUGCAUGUCUUACCCUGUAGGCUUUCCUGAACUAUUAACGGGAGGGGUUUACAGAUUACUGUGUGAGAGCAAAGCCUUUGGGUAUUAGACGUGCCUAACAGCCAUUAAAGAUAUCACAGUUUCCGUUUAUCAGCAUGGCAUUUAUGAAAUCUUACACUUUAAAACCUAUUUUCGAAGUGUCAGAUAUUCUUGUUUUCCCCUAUGUGGAACCCUCACACUCUCACUUUAUUCAGUGGAUAUAUACGCGUGUAUUGCAAAUUGAUGAUGGGGAGGAGAGCACACGCAGCUUCCAUGAGUGUUCAGGCUCCGAGUGGGGGAAAAAAAGCCUAAAAUCACUGUCUUUCCUUAAUGAUGCCCACACAGAGACAAUGGGGCGCCGCUCUGAUUAGUGUCACCUGUCCUUGCGCAUCUCAUCAGCUCCAUUAUGGUUCUAUCUCCCAUGCUUCUCCUGCUAAUUGAAUAGCCUGUGAAGUGGUGACGAGGACGAGGGUGAGAGCGCCGUCUGUCCCACUGCUGCCUCAGAAAUGAGCGUGAAGCGUCUCGGUACAACACUAGAUCUUAAGCCAUUAACAGCAAACUGUAAGAAGCUCUUGUUAUAUCACUAUCAUGUCAAUUAUCUUUAAAUCUAAAAGGGUGACUACGUGUGACUGUAUAAUAUUCAUGCAUUAAAAAAGAUACUGUUCAAUGUCCUAGUGCACAUACUGUAUCUUUGGUGUCAGACAGCAGGUUCACAUUGCGGACAAUCGUGAGAAGCUGAUGUUUUCCAGCUGUGUAAUGAUUCAGUAGUUGCUCAUGGCAGCUAAACUUUGGAAAUGGCACAGUUAAGGUUAUCAGCGACACCGGCUUCAUGUGGACUCAGGUUUUAUGUUUUUCUCAAUUAAAGUGAACAACUUUUUUUUCCAAAGUCUUCUGACUUUUAUUCGAACUGUCCCAUAAUGCAGCAGUCUUCAUCUUUUGCUAGACUCCUUGCUACGUAAGGCCUCUUGGUCACACACCUGUCAAAUUGUGACUGCACCUUGAAUGGCAGCUGUCGAUGAUGAUGGCAUUGAGGGCCAUUUGUGACUCUGUACAACAACAGUUCCUCUUUAAUGCAUGAAUGUACUGUGAAUAAACAAGCCUGUAAAUGUCUGUGAAACUUUCUU
ensembl:lncRNA uncharacterized LOC114854608